rnacentral:rRNA from 1 species
CCUGAAACCGUGUGCUUACAAGUAGUCAGAGCCCGUUAAUGGGUGAUGGCGUGCCUUUUGUAGAAUGAACCGGCGAGUUACGAUUUGAUGCAAGGUUAAGCAGUAAAUGUGGAGCCGUAGCGAAAGCGAGUCUGAAUAGGGCGUUUAGUAUUUGGUCGUAGACCCGAAACCAGGUGAUCUACCCUUGGUCAGGUUGAAGUUCAGGUAACACUGAAUGGAGGACCGAACCGACUUACGUUGAAAAGUGAGCGGAUG